rnacentral:rRNA from 1 species
UACGUGAGGGGCGAACGUUGUUCGGUGUCACUGGGCUUAAAGGGCGCGUAGGUGGCUGCGUAAGUAAGGUGUGAAAGCCCUCGGCUUACCCGGGGAAUUGCGCCUUAUACUGCGCGGCUUGAGGAUUUCAGGGGAAGGGGGAACUCCAGGUGUAGCGGUGAAAUGCGCAGAUAUCUGGGGGAAGGCCGGCGGCGAAGGCGCGCUUCUGGGAAAUUCCUGACACUGAGGCGCGAAAGCGUGGGGAGCAAACAGG